rnacentral:rRNA from 1 species
CACACGACUCUCGGCAACGGAUAUCUCGGCUCUCGCAUCGAUGAAGAACGUAGCGAAAUGCGAUACCUGGUGUGAAUUGCAGAAUCCCGCGAACCAUCGAGUCUUUGAACGCAAGUUGCGCCCGAGCCACUCGCCGAGGGCACGCCUGCCUGGGCGUCACGC